rnacentral:rRNA from 1 species
UAGAUACCCUGGUAGUCCACGCCCUAAACGAUGUCGAUUAGCUGUUGGGCAGCUUGACUGCUUAGUAGCGUAGCUAACGUGAUAAAUCGACCGCCUGGGGAGUACGGUCGCAAGAUUAAAACUCAAAGGAAUUGACGGGGACCCGCACAAGCGGUGGAUGAUGUGGAUUAAUUCGAUGCAACGCGAAGAACCUUACCUGGUCUUGACAUGUACGGAAUCCUCCAGAGACGGAGGAGUGCCUUCGGGAACC